rnacentral:rRNA from 1 species
GACGAACGCUGGCGGCGUGCCUAAUACAUGCAAGUAGAACGCUGAAGGAGGAGCUUGCUUCUCUGGAUGAGUUGCGAACGGGUGAGUAACGCGUAGGUAACCUGCCUGGUAGCGGGGGAUAACUAUUGGAAACGAUAGCUAAUACCGCAUAAUAGUAGAUGUUGCAUGACAUUUGCUUAAAAGGUGCAAUUGCAUCACUACCAGAUGGACCUGCGUUGUAUUAGCUAGUUGGUGGGGUAACGGCUCACCAAGGCGACGAUACAUAGCCGACCUGAGAGGGUGGUCGGCCACACUGGGACGGAGACACGGCCCAGACUCCUACGGGAAGCAGCAGUAGGGAAUCGUCGGCAAUGGACGGAAGUCUGACCGAGCAACGCCGCGUGAGGGAAGAAGGGUUUCGGAUCGUAAAGCUCUGUUUUAAGGGAAGAACGAGUGUGAGAGUGGAAAGUUCACACUGUGACGGUAUCUGACCAGAAAGGGACGGCUAACUACGUG